AACUGUUAUUGGCCUUUCAUUUAACUUGAAGCCAUGAAAUGUUCCACCUGUGCUAAAUUUGGUACAUGAAUAUAAGCAACAUAGUUGACUGUAAAACAUUAUUUAUUAUUCAUUUAAUGCAUUAUUUCUGGGCUUCAAAUUCUAAAAUAUAUAAAGUCUCUAACCCCCUUAAUAGUUUUCAUCAUAGUCUUUUGACUCUUCUCCAAUUGCUACACUAAUCAAUUAAUCACUCAAGCGAGCUGUCAUUGCCACUUAUAGGGUCCGAAAUUGACUGAAAACAACUAAUGGCAAUGGGUCGGCGUGUGAGGAGCGAUGGUAAACGAAGAAGUGGCGGGCGAGAUAGAAGAAACACUAAAUAAAUGCCAUUAGCGAAAAAAGAGAGACCACUUUCAAAUCAUCCAUCGAGAUGGGGCCUGGCGCCUCGAGACAGAGAAGGAAAAGGAGUACUUGUUUUUUUUCGUUCAUCAAUGCCAUACAAAGAAGUACGGUAGAAGUAGUAUUUAGGAAAAAGGAGACGAUGAGUUGAAGAACACGUGGCCAUAGAAAGGGGGAGAAGAUUUGGCU
ensembl:ncRNA W05E10.13 ncRNA